rnacentral:rRNA from 1 species
UACGUAGGGGGCGAACGUUGCUCGGAAUUAUUGGGCGUAAAGGGUGUGUAGGUGGCUGAGCAAGUCAAAGAUGAAAUCCCAAGGCUCAACCUUGGAAUUGUCUUUGAAACUGUUCAGCUUGAGGAUAGCUGAGGAGGACGGAAUUCCCGGUGGAGCGGUGAAAUGCGUAGAUAUCGGGAGGAACACCAGAGGCGAAGGCGGUUCUCUAAGUUAUUCCUGACACUGAGACACGAAAGCUAGGGUAGCAAACGGGAUUAGAUACCCUGGUA